GACGAACGCUGGCGGCGUGCUUCAAACAUGCAAGUCGAACGGAGUUAAGAGAGCUUGCUCUUUUAACUUAGUGGCGGACUGGUGAGUAACGCGUGAGUAAUCUGCCUAUUACAGGGGGAUAACAGUUGGAAACGACUGCUAAUACCGCAUAAGACCACGGGGAGGCAUCUCUUUGGGGUCAAAGGGUUUACUGGUAAUAGAUGAGCUUGCGUAUCAUUAGCUAGAUGGUGAGGGUAAAGGCCCACCAUGGCGACGAUGAUUAGCCGAUCUGAGAGGAUGACCGGCCACACUGGAACUGAGAUACGGUCCAG
rnacentral:rRNA from 1 species